CCUUAACCCCCAUCCUCACCCUAUAACCCUUACCCUAAGCCUAACCCUAUAACCCUUACCCCCACCCUCACCCCAUAACCCUUACCCUAAGCCUAACCCUAUAACCCUUACCUUUACCCUAACCCUGUAACCCUCACCCCAACCCACAGCCCCAGCAUUGCAGGUGGGCAGCAGUGUACUGUGGGGUGCCUGCAACAACUUUGUAAGCUAGAACAAACC
rnacentral:lncRNA from 1 species